GACGAACGCUGGCGGCGUGCUUAACACAUGCAAGUCGAGCGGAGCGGCGAACGGGUGAGUAACGCGUGAGUAACUGCCCCCCUCUCUGGGAUAACAGUUGGAAACGGCUGCUAAUACCGGAUAGUGGGGGAUGACUCGCGUCCUAUCAGCUUGUGGGUGGGGUAGGGGCCUACCAAGGGGACGACGGGUAGCCGGCCUGAGAGGGCGACCGGCCACCAUGGGCUGAUGUACGGCCCAAACUCCUACGGGAGGCAGCAGUGGGGCAUAUGGCCCAAUGGUGGAAACCCUGAUGCAGCUACGCCGCGUGCUGUAUGACGGCCUUCGUGUUGUAAACCGCUUUCAGCCAUGACGCGGUAGUGGCAGAAGAAGCACCGGCUAACUACGUGCCAGCAGCCGCGGUAAUAC
rnacentral:rRNA from 1 species